rnacentral:rRNA from 1 species
AACGAACGCUGGCGGCAUGCCUAACACAUGCAAGUCGAGCGAGGACUUCGGUUCUAGCGGCGGACGGGUGAGUAACGCGUGGGAAUGUGCCCUUCUCUACGGAAUAGCCCUGGGAAACUGGGAGUAAUACCGUAUACGCCCUUUUGGGGAAAGAUUUAUCGGAGAAGGAUCAUCCCGCGUUGGAUUAGGUAGUUGGUGGGGUUAUGGCCUACCAAGCCGACGAUCCAUAGCUGGUUUGAGAGGAUGAUCAGCCACACUGGGACUGAGACACGGCCCAGACUCCUACGGGAGGCAGCAGUGGGGAAUCUUAGACAAUGGGGGCAAACCUGAUCUAGCCAUGCCGCGUGAGUGAUGAAGGCCUUAGGGUUGUAAAGCUCUUUCAGCUGGGAAGAUAAUGACGGUACCAGCAGAAGAAGCCCCGGCUAACUCCGUG